rnacentral:lncRNA from 1 species
GUGGCAGAUUUAAAUGGAUAAGAAGGAGGGGAAUAUGCCCCUCUCUUUGAGCUAUGCGUGGGAGAAAAAGGGAGGGCGCACGCCCCUCCUAGGUGGCAAGAAAUAGAGAUAAGGAUGAGCUCCUAAAAAAAUAGGAGCUCAUCUUUAUCCCUUUGCAUUUCAAAAGGAAGAGGUGAUUUCGGCCAGCAUUUUUUAUGUUUUUCUUGGGCAUUUCGGCAACACCUCUCUUCCCUUCAUUCCUCCUUCCAGC